rnacentral:rRNA from 1 species
UACGGAGGGGGGCUAGCGUUGUUCGGAAUUACUGGGCGUAAAGCGCACGUAGGCGGCUUUGUAAGUUAGAGGUGAAAGCCCAGGGCUUAACCCUGGAAUUGCCUUUAAGACUGCAUCGCUAGAAUCGUGGAGAGGUAAGUGGAAUUCCGAGUGUAGAGGUGAAAUUCGUAGAUAUUGGGAAGAACACCGGUGGCGAAGGCGGCUCACUGGCUCGUAUCUGACGCUCAGGCGCGACAGCGUGGGGAUCAAACAGG